AACGAAAAAGGAUCGCCCGAGCAGGGACUUGAACCCUGGACCCUUGGAUUAAAAGUCCAAUGCUCUACCGACUGAGCUACCCGGGCUCGAUGUAUCUCGUUUCUUUUUACAGGUUUAAGAAUAUGCUGCGAUUUCUUAACAUGUCAAACGUAUUUUUUGACAUUUUUUUGUAAGAAAACUUUACAAUAAAACAACAAAAAUCUAUUAAUUACAUUUAAUUACCAGAAAUAUUUGAUUUUAAAAACAAAAAACUUGUAUUUAUUUAAGAAAAAAGUGCAAAGUCUUCUUUUUUAGUUUUAUUCCCGAAAUUCACCUAGAAAAGCUCGUUACUCACGGUCAAGGUCAAGGUCGGACUGUUGCACAACGCGUUGCCGCAUUCUAAAUAUAUCCGCACAACUAGCCGGCAGGGGCGCGAGUUUGCAGAGCUUAUCGAUACUAUCAUCUACUAUUUGUUCAAUGUGCUAUGCAUGCGUCUUUCUGGAUGCGCCACGUUGCGCAUUUGCCAAAAUUGUGUUUACAUUAAAGCGUGCAAAAGCUUAAACCUACUUAAAACACUUUACAUGCGCUUAUUUUCUACUUAAAAGCUCCCGACAGUUGAAAUAAAACCUCAAACAUUCAUCACAAUCAAGGUGAAAUUCUGACACGCGGAACUUUCACGCGAUGCGCGCAUCGAGAGUAAAAUAAACAAAUGAAGAAAAGAAAAGGAAUCGCCCGAGCAGGGACUUGAACCCUGGACCCUUGGAUUAAAAGUCCAAUGCUCUACCGACUGAGCUACCCGGGCUGUGAUAACUUUUAAUUCAUGAUAUAAUCACGCUGUUGAUUAGAAAUAAUCUAAUAUAUUGCAAGAUUUGUUUUCAUUUUAAACUUUAAACUAACACGAAACACGAAACUUAUGUCAACUUGUGUGUUAAUAUAGGCAACUUUCAAUGUC